UCUCUGUGAUGAUAAAAGAUGAUGAUGAGUCUGAUCUCUUCAUCUAUUCCAUUCACCUUGACGACAAAUCGAGGCAUUUGUCUGAGAGAG
rnacentral:snoRNA from 2 species